UACUCUUGACAUCCAGAGAACUUGGCAGAGAUGCCUUGGUGCCUUCGGGAACUCUGAGACAGGUGCUGCAUGGCUGUCGUCAGCUCGUGUUGUGAAAUGUUGGGUUAAGUCCCGCAACGAGCGCAACCCUUAUCCUUUGUUGCCAGCGCGUGAUGGCGGGAACUCAAAGGAGACUGCCGGUGAUAAACCGGAGGAAGGUGGGGAUGACGUCAAGUCAUCAUGGCCCUUACGAGUAGGGCUACACACGUGCUACAAUGGCGUAUACAAAGGGAAGCGACCCCGCGAGGGCAAGCGGAACUCAUAAAGUACGUCGUAGUCCGGAUUGGAGUCUGCAACUCGACUCCAUGAAGUCGGAAUCGCUAGUAAUCGUAGAUCAGAAUGCUACGGUGAAUACGUUCCCGGGCC
rnacentral:rRNA from 1 species